rnacentral:misc_RNA from 1 species
GAACUGAUGGAUCAAUCUAAAAUUUGAAAAUAAGCGAAAACUAUGACAGAUUCUCAGGGUAUAUAGUAUAUGGAUGAAUUAUGUGCUCGACGAUCAUGGAGCUCCAGGUGCAGCACGGCGUGCUGAAACUUUCUAAUCUUUCUUCUUCCCUUUCGGAGGUGUUGGCUUUUGGUAUAUGAUAAUUUGACUCAAGAUGGUACCGUUCAUCAGUACACCGAUCACAGAUCCCAAGGCAACACUCAUGGGAGCUUUUUCCUGGAGGCUGGUAAAAACUCUAACCAUGGAACCGGCGAAGUUCAUGAAGAAGGUCAAAAAGCUCAGUUCACCAGUACUUUUGCCCUUAAAGUUCUUCCAUAUCUGCGGAAUCCUUGCACAAAGAAAGAUUGCAUGUUGGGAAGCAUAUAAGGCCUCGAAAAGAACAGGAUUAAUUUGACCUGCCAAAACAGUUGGGGCUACAGCACAAUAUAAUAAGCCUUUCAUCCAUGUCUUCAUUCCCAAAGGUUGAGAAAAAUAGUAGAUAAUUGCAACCAAAAUUAUAGCUUGGAUCAAAAGAAAAAGGUACUCGCCAAAAGCUGAAAACGGUAACCCUUUGUGAAGACAAUAUGACAAAGCAAUGGUGUAACCGAUUAGUUCGAGUUCGAAGGCCACAACACUAAGCCCUCUAACACUUUUGUGUUGCAAAAUUUUAAGUAUCUGAGGAAGUUUAACAGUGGUGGAGGCAGCAACAAUUGCAUAACCAAGAAGCUUUGAAAUUAAGGGAAGCAAACAAUCUUUUUCUGGGAAUUGACCAUUACUUAGAGAUCCAAGUGCACAACCAAAGUCCAUUCCAAGAAACUUUAAUUCCACCAUUUUUAUUUUUAUUUUUGAUCUAAUCAACAACUCUUCUGGUUUGUGCCCCAAUACAAAAAAUCAGAUAAUGAUUUGAAUUUUAUUUUUUUUGGACAAAUCUAUAUGGUAUUUCUGGGAUUUAAUCCUUAAAAGGUAACAAUUUUCAAGAAAAGAAAGAAUU